rnacentral:rRNA from 1 species
AAUGGGUUCUUAGAUCGUACCCACGUUACUUGGAUAACUGGUGGGUAAUUCUAGAGCUAAUACAUGCCGACAGAGUUCCGACCAACUGUACGGAUUUGGCGGCAGUUUCGGGCUGUCGUCGCCGUACGGUUCGGAAGGAACGCUUUUUAUUAGAUCAAAACCGGCUAAACGGCGGUUUCGCUUUCGGGCGUCUUCGUCGUAAGCGGCCCGCGCAAAGAUUUGGUGACUCUGAAUAACUUCGAGCUGAUCGCACGGUCUUUGUACCGGCGACGUAUCUUUCAAAUGUCUGCCUUAUCAACUGUCGACGGUAGGUUCGACGCCUACCGUGGUGGUAACGGGUAACGGGGAAUCAGGGUUCGAUUCCGGAGAGGGAGCCUGAGAAACGGCUACCACAUCCAAGGAAGGCAGCAGGCGCGCAAAUUACCCACUCCCAGCUCGGGGAGGUAGUGACGAAAAAUAACGAUACGGGACUCAUUCGAGGCCCUUUAAUCGGAAUGAGUACACUAUAAA